rnacentral:rRNA from 1 species
UACGGAGGGAGCUAGCGUUGUUCGGAAUUACUGGGCGUAAAGCGCGCGUAGGCGGCUUUGUAAGUUAGAGUGAAAGCCCGGAGCUCAACUCCGGAACUGCCUUUAAAACUGCAUCGCUUGAAUCCAGGAGAGGUGAGUGGAAUUCCGAGUGUAGAGGUGAAAUUCGUAGAUAUUCGGAAGAACACCAGUGGCGAAGGCGGCUCACUGGACUGGUAUUGACGCUGAGGCACGAAAGCGUGGGGAGCAAACAGG